rnacentral:tRNA from 1 species
GGGGAGAUUCCAGAGCGGUCAAAUGGGGCAGACUGUAAAUCUGUUGGCGACGCCUUCGGAGGUUCGAAUCCUCCUCUCCCCA